UGAGGAAUAUUGGUCAAUGGGCGCAAGCCUGAACCAGCCAUCCCGCGUGCAGGAAGACGGCCCUAUGGGUUGUAAACUGCUUUUCCAGGGGGAGAAUUUUUCUGUCGUGACAGGAAUUGACGGUACCCUGGGAAUAAGCAUCGGCUAACUCCGUGCCAGCAGCCGCGGUAAUACGGAGGAUGCGAGCGUUAUCCGGAUUUAUUGGGUUUAAAGGGUGCGUAGGCGGAUUGAUAAGUCAGUGGUGAAAACCUGCAGCUUAACUGUAGACUUGCCGUUGAUACUGUCAGUCUUGAGUGUGGUCAAGGUAAGCGGAAUGUGUAAUGUAGCGGUGAAAUGCUUAGAUAUUACACAGAACACCGAUUGCGAAGGCAGCUUACUGGGCCAUUACUGACGCUGACGCACGAAAGCGUGGGGAUCGAACAGG
rnacentral:rRNA from 1 species